rnacentral:rRNA from 1 species
GCUCAGAUUGAACGCUGGCGGCAGGCCUAACACAUGCAAGUCGAGCGGCAGCACGGGUACUUGUACCUGGUGGCGAGCGGCGGACGGGUGAGUAAUGCCUAGGAAUCUGCCUGGUAGUGGGGGAUAACGCUCGGAAACGGACGCUAAUACCGCAUACGUCCUACGGGAGAAAGCAGGGGACCUUCGGGCCUUGCGCUAUCAGAUGAGCCUAGGUCGGAUUAGCUAGUUGGUGAGGUAAUGGCUCACCAAGGCGACGAUCCGUAACUGGUCUGAGAGGAUGAUCAGUCACACUGGAACUGAGACACGGUCCAGACUCCUACGGGAGGCAGCAGUGGGGAAUAUUGGACAAUGGGCGAAAGCCUGAUCCAGCCAUGCCGCGUGUGUGAAGAAGGUCUUCGGAUUGUAAAGCACUUUAAGUUGGGAGGAAGGGCAUUUACCUAAUACGUAAGUGUUUUGACGUUACCGACAGAAUAAGCACCGGCUAACUCUGUGCCAGCAGCCGCGGUAAUACAGAGGGUGCAAGCGUUAAUCGGAAUUACUGGGCGUAAAGCGCGCGUAGGUGGUUCGUUAAGUUGGAUGUGAAAUCCCCGGGCUCAACCUGGGAACUGCAUUCAAAACUGUCGAGCUAGAGUAUGGUAGAGGGUGGUGGAAUUUCCUGUGUAGCGGUGAAAUGCGUAGAUAUAGGAAGGAACACCAGUGGCGAAGGCGACCACCUGGACUGAUACUGACACUGAGGUGCGAAAGCGUGGGGAGCAAACAGGAUUAGAUACCCUGGUAGUCCACGCCGUAAACGAUGUCAACUAGCCGUUGGGAGCCUUGAGCUCUUAGUGGCGCAGCUAACGCAUUAAGUGACCGCCUGG